rnacentral:rRNA from 1 species
GGGUUGUGAGGUUAAGCGACUAAGCGUACACGGUGGAUGCCCUGGCAGUCAGAGGCGAUGAAGGACGUGCUAAUCUGCGAUAAGCGUCGGUAAGGUGAUAUGAACCGUUAUAACCGGCGAUUUCCGAAUGGGGAAACCCAGUGUGAUUCGUCACACUAUCAUUAACUGAAUCCAUAGGUUAAUGAGGCGAACCGGGGGAACUGAAACAUCUAAGUACCCCGAGGAAAAGAAAUCAACCGAGAUUCCCCCAGUAGCGGCGAGCGAACGGGGAGGAGCCCAGAGCCUGAAUCAGUGUGUGUGUUAGUGGAAGCGUCUGGAAAGGCGCGCGAUACAGGGUGACAGCCCCGUACACAAAAAUGCACAUACUGUGAGCUCGAUGAGUAGGGCGGGACACGUGGUAUCCUGUCUGAAUAUGGGGGGACCAUCCUCCAAGGCUAAAUACUCCUGACUGACCGAUAGUGAACCAGUACCGUGAGGGAAAGGCGAAAAGAACCCCGGCGAGGGGAGUGAAAAAGAACCUGAAACCGUGUACGUACAAGCAGUGGGAGCCUCUUAAUGGGGUGACUGCGUACCUUUUGUAUAAUGGGUCAGCGACUUAUAUUCUGUAGCAAGGUUAACCGAAUAGGGGAGCCGAAGGGAAACCGAGUCUUAACUGGGCGUUAAGUUGCAGGGUAUAGACCCGAAACCCGGUGAUCUAGCUAUGGGCAGGUUGAAGGUUGGGUAACACUAACUGGAGGACCGAACCGACUAAUGUUGAAAAAUUAGCGGAUGACUUGUGGCUGGGGGUGAAAGGCCAAUCAAACCGGGAGAUAGCUGGUUCUCCCCGAAAGCUAUUUAGGUAGCGCCUCGUGAAUUCAUCUCCGGGGGUAGAGCACUGUUUCGGCAAGGGGGUCAUCCCGACUUACCAACCCGAUGCAAACUGCGAAUACCGGAGAAUGUUAUCACGGGAGACACACGGCGGGUGCUAACGUCCGUCGUGAAGAGGGAAACAACCCAGACCGCCAGCUAAGGUCCCAAAGUCAUGGUUAAGUGGGAAACGAUGUGGGAAGGCCCAGACAGCCAGGAUGUUGGCUUAGAAGCAGCCAUCAUUUAAAGAAAGCGUAAUAGCUCACUGGUCGAGUCGGCCUGCGCGGAAGAUGUAACGGGGCUAAACCAUGCACCGAAGCUGCGGCAGCGACGCUUAUGCGUUGUUGGGUAGGGGAGCGUUCUGUAAGCCUGUGAAGGUGGCCUGUGAGGGUUGCUGGAGGUAUCAGAAGUGCGAAUGCUGACAUAAGUAACGAUAAAGCGGGUGAAAAGCCCGCUCGCCGGAAGACCAAGGGUUCCUGUCCAACGUUAAUCGGGGCAGGGUGAGUCGACCCCUAAGGCGAGGCCGAAAGGCGUAGUCGAUGGGAAACAGGUUAAUAUUCCUGUACUUGGUGUUACUGCGAAGGGGGGACGGAGAAGGCUAUGUUGGCCGGGCGACGGUUGUCCCGGUUUAAGCGUGUAGGCUGGUUUUCCAGGCAAAUCCGGAAAAUCAAGGCUGAGGCGUGAUGACGAGGCACUACGGUGCUGAAGCGACAAAUGCCCUGCUUCCAGGAAAAGCCUCUAAGCAUCAGGUAACAUUAAAUCGUACCCCAAACCGACACAGGUGGUCAGGUAGAGAAUACCAAGGCGCUUGAGAGAACUCGGGUGAAGGAACUAGGCAAAAUGGUGCCGUAACUUCGGGAGAAGGCACGCUGAUAUGUAGGUGAAGCGACUUGCUCGUGGAGCUGAAAUCAGUCGAAGAUACCAGCUGGCUGCAACUGUUUAUUAAAAACACAGCACUGUGCAAACACGAAAGUGGACGUAUACGGUGUGACGCCUGCCCGGUGCCGGAAGGUUAAUUGAUGGGGUUAGCGGUAACGCGAAGCUCUUGAUCGAAGCCCCGGUAAACGGCGGCCGUAACUAUAACGGUCCUAAGGUAGCGAAAUUCCUUGUCGGGUAAGUUCCGACCUGCACGAAUGGCGUAAUGAUGGCCAGGCUGUCUCCACCCGAGACUCAGUGAAAUUGAACUCGCUGUGAAGAUGCAGUGUACCCGCGGCAAGACGGAAAGACCCCGUGAACCUUUACUAUAGCUUGACACUGAACAUUGAGCCUUGAUGUGUAGGAUAGGUGGGAGGCUUUGAAGUGUGGACGCCAGUCUGCAUGGAGCCGACCUUGAAAUACCACCCUUUAAUGUUUGAUGUUCUAACGUGGGCCCCUUACCGGGGUUGCGGACAGUGUCUGGUGGGUAGUUUGACUGGGGCGGUCUCCUCCUAAAGAGUAACGGAGGAGCACGAAGGUUGGCUAAUCCUGGUCGGACAUCAGGAGGUUAGUGCAAUGGCAUAAGCCAGCUUGACUGCGAGCGUGACGGCGCGAGCAGGUGCGAAAGCAGGUCAUAGUGAUCCGGUGGUUCUGAAUGGAAGGGCCAUCGCUCAACGGAUAAAAGGUACUCCGGGGAUAACAGGCUGAUACCGCCCAAGAGUUCAUAUCGACGGCGGUGUUUGGCACCUCGAUGUCGGCUCAUCACAUCCUGGGGCUGAAGUAGGUCCCAAGGGUAUGGCUGUUCGCCAUUUAAAGUGGUACGCGAGCUGGGUUUAGAACGUCGUGAGACAGUUCGGUCCCUAUCUGCCGUGGGCGCUGGAGAACUGAGGGGGGCUGCUCCUAGUACGAGAGGACCGGAGUGGACGCAUCACUGGUGUUCGGGUUGUCAUGCCAAUGGCACUGCCCGGUAGCUAAAUGCGGAAGAGAUAAGUGCUGAAAGCAUCUAAGCACGAAACUUGCCCCGAGAUGAGUUCUCCCUGACUCCUUGAGAGUCCUGAAGGAACGUUGAAGACGACGACGUUGAUAGGCCGGGUGUGUAAGCGCAGCGAUGCGUUGAGCUAACCGGUACUAAUGAACCGUGAGGCUUAACCUUACAACGCCGAAG